rnacentral:misc_RNA from 1 species
AAAAUGCGAAAAUUAUUUUUCAAUAAAAUAUUUUUCAUGAAAUAAAUGGAGCUUAAAUCGCUAAAUCUUAAUUUUAUCUAACAGAGCUUAAUUGAACAAAAUUCAUUGGAUUAUUUUAUAUUAUUUUCUUAGGUUGAUUUCAAACGAUAUUAGAUCUUUUUUCUAUUGAAUUUGUUAGUUUUCCUGCCGUGUAUAAACCCUAGUGUAUAAAGGCUCUCUCUUCAGUUAAGGAAUCACAAGUUCCGGUUUUCAUUUCAUUUCUUAUUAUGGUCUCAGAGCAAUAACUGCUCAUUUGCAUUUGAGAUCUGAAUCUGUUUUUCAGUUUUUGUUCAAUUUUCCCUCAUUUUCUAUUUGUUUCUCAUCCGUUUCUUAAUCAAGAUUGUUAAUCAAAGUUCAUGGCAACUGAAUCUACUUCUCUAUCUGCAAAAUCAAGCUCCGGAUCAUUUGACAAAUUCAUCUAAUCCAUACUUUCUGCAUCCAAGUGAGAAACUAGCCUCGAUUCUCGUAUCUCCAGUUUUUACUGGCCCCCAUUGCCAUUCAUGUACAAGAGCUAUGACGAUGGCAUUGCAAUCCAAGGAUAAAUUGAAGUUCAUUGACAAAUCUCUGGAGAUGCCAACAAGCACUAAUCCUUUGUUUUCUUCUUGAGAAAGGUGCAAUACUAUGGUGUUAUCUUGGAUCACACAUUCUCUGUCGCAUUCAAUUGCACGAAGCAUCUUAUGGAUUAAUAUUGCAUUUGAUGUCUGGAACAACCUCUGAAACAGAUUUUCUCGGUGUUUCGUAUUUUAGGUAUUUUAGAUCUGCAAGAAGAGAUUUACAGUUUCAAACAAGGUGAUUUACUUGUCACUGAUUACUUCACUCCAGUGAAGAUCUUGUGAGAUGAAUUGGAUAAUUUUAGGCCAAUACUUCAGUGCUCAUGUCCUGUUCAAUGUAAAUGUGAUGCACUUAUAGUUUUUCUUCUCCAGGAGCAGAUAAGAAAAGAUAUGAUAGUCAGAAUAAUACCAAAGUCUGCACCUACUGUGGUAAGCCACAUCACACUGAAGAAAUUUGCUAUAAGAAACAUGGAUUUCCACCUAGUUUUAUGUUUAGAAAUUCUUCUGGUGUAACCAUCAGUAAUGUCUAUUUUGACUCCAUUAAAAAUUGUGACAAAUAUGCUAGUCCUGAUAGAUCAUAAGAAGAACAUGAGAACACAUGCUUUGUUUUAGCUCCAUAAUAGUGUCAACGUUUACUGGCCCUGAUCCGACCAUCUAAUUCUAAUCAAGGCUAU